AGUUUGAUCAUGGCUCCCGGAAUUGAACGCUGGCGGGAUGUACACACAUGGAAGUCGAACGGCGCGCUGGACUUCCGGUCUGGUGGCGAGUGGCGAACGAUGAUAAUGUGUAUCGGAACGUGCCUGAUAGCGGGGGAUAACUACGCGAAAGCGUAGCUAAUACCACGCUACGCCCUUCGGGGAAAGCAGAGGACCUUCGGGCCUCGCACUAUUAGAGCGGCCAUUAUCGGAUUAGCUAGUUGGUGGGGUAGCGGCUCGCAAGGCGACGAUCCGUAGCUGGUUGAGAGGACGACCAGCCACUGGGACUGAGACACGGCCCAGACUCCUACGGGAGGCAGCAGUGGGGAAUUUACGGACGAUAGGCCUGAUCCAGCAUCGCGACUGCGAUGAACGCUGGGUUCGUAAAGCUUUAGCGGAAAGAAACGGCGCAGGAUAAUACCCCGUGUGACAUUACCUGCAGAAUAAGCACCGGCUAACUACGUGCCAGCAGCCGCGGUAAUACGUAGGGUGCAAGCGUUAAUCGGAAUUACUGGGCGUAAAGUGUGCGCAGGCGGUUCGGAAAGAAAGAUGUGAAAUCCCAGGAAAUUUGCUUUGGAACUGCAUUUUUAACUACCGAGCUAGAGUGUGUCAGAGGUGGAAUUCCGCGUGUAGCAGUGAAAUGCGUAGAUAUGGAGGAUAUGAUGGCGACAAUAUUCGGGAUUAGUUUUACAGCUCUGCACGAAAGCGUGGGGAGCAAACAAGUUAGAUACCUGGUAGUCCACGCCCUAAACGAUGUCAACUAGCUGUUGGGGCCUUCGGGCCUUGGCGCAGCUAACGCGUGAAGUUGACCGCCUGGGGAGUACGGUCAUAAGAUAAAACUCAAAGGAAUUGGGCGGGGACCCGCACAAAGAAGCCCGGUGGAUGAUGUGGAUUAAUUCGAUGCAGCAUGAAAAACCUUACCUACUAUCGGCAUGUCUGGAAUCCCGAAGAGAUUUGGGAGUGCUCGCAAGAGAACCGGAACACAGGUGCUGCAUGGCUGUCGUCAGCUCGUGUCGUGAGAUGUUGGGUUAAGUCCGCAACGAGCGUAACCCUUGUCAUUAGUUGCUACGAAAGGGCACUCUAAUCGGACGCGGUGACAAACCGGAGGAAGGUGGGGAUGACGUCAAGUCUCAUGGCCCUUAUGGGUAAGGGCUUCACACGUCAUACAAUGGUCGGGACAGAGGGUCGCCAACCCGCGAAGGGGAGCCAAUCCAGAAACCCGAUCGUAGUCCGGAUCGCAGUCCACAACUCAUUGCGUGAAGUCGGAAUCGCUAGUAAUCGCGGAUCAGCAUGUCGCGGUAGUUCCCGGGUCUUGUACACACCGCCCGUCACACCAUGGAGUGGGGUUUUACCAGAAGUAGUUAGCCUAACCGUAAGGAGGGCGAUUACCCUGGUAAGUUCAUGACUGGGGUGAAGUCGUAACAAGGUA
rnacentral:rRNA from 1 species